CCUACGGGAGGCUGCAGUAGGGAAUAUUGCUCAAUGGGGGAAACCCGGAAGCAGCAACGCCGCGUGGGGGAUGAAGGUUUUCGGAUUGUAAACUCCUUUUGUUAGAGAAGAUAAUGAAGGAAUCUAAGGAAUAAGCAGCGGCUAACUCCGUGCCAGCAGCCGCGGCAAUACGGAGGGUGCAAGCGUUACUCGGAAUCACUGGGCGUAAAGCGGGCGUAGGCGGGAUAGCAAGUCAGAUGUUAAAUCCUAUGGCGUAACCAUAGAACUGCAUUUGAAACUGUUAUUCUAGAGUAUGCGAGAGGUAGGUGGAAGUCUUGGUGUAGGGGUUAAAUCCGUAGAGAUCACGAAGAAUACUCAUUGCGAAGGCGACCUGCUAGAACAUAACUGACGCUGAUGCGCGAAAGCGUGGGGAGCAAACAGGAUUAGAUACCCUUGUAGUC
rnacentral:rRNA from 1 species